CCUACGGGCGGCAGCAGUGGGGAAUAUUGCGCAAUGGGCGCAAGCCUGACGCAGCAACGCCGCGUGCAGGAUGAAGGCCUUCGGGUUGUAAACUUCUGUUAAGGGGGAAGAGCAGAAGCCGGUACACCUUGAAUAAGCCUCGCCUAACUACGUGCCAGCAGCCGGGGUAAUACGUAGGUUGCAAGCGUUGUCCGAAUUUACUGGGUGUAAAGGGCGUGCAGCAGGAGUGACAAGUCAGUUGUGAAAUCCACGGGCUCAACCCGUGAAAUGCAUUUGAAACUGGUUCCCUGGAGUGUCGGAGAGGUAAUCGGAAUUCCUGGUGUAGCGGUGAAAUGCGUAGAUAUAAGGAAGAACACCAGUGGCGAAGGCGGAUUACUGGACGAUAACUGACGGUGAGGCGCGAAAGCGUGGGGAGCAAACAGGAUUAGAUACCCCUGUAGUC
rnacentral:rRNA from 1 species